GUUAAAGUGGGGUGGUUUAGCAUUUUUAAGAUAAAAAUUAGCCAGGACUGUAAGAGAACACUGUGUACCUUUUCAGGUGCCUGUAUAGCUCUUCCUAGAAUACCUGUCUGGUGCUCUACUCUUCCUCAAGACUACCUCAACACUCCUCCCACUUGGGGACUCCAGCAUGUGGUAAGGAAGAACAAAGAUGCAAUAUUUUUCUAUGGAAGUCUUCAUUGGUGUGAACAGUUGAAUUGAAUUCAGGAUAAAUUCCACUUUAGCAUAAAAAAGUCCUCUCCGUGUCAGAAAAUUUUAAGGCAAGUUGAUUUUCCUGAUUUAUAAUAUUUAUUUGAAAAUGUUCUCAAAUGGAUAAAUGAGAUAAAAAACCAAUUUUGACAGUGCUAAUAGAGUUCAUUAUAAUGAAAUUAGAUUUUUAUACAAUCAGCAGAAAAUGAAUUUAAAAUCCAUUAGAUUUUAAUCGUAGAUCAAAAUACUAAUCCUUUAACAAUCGAAUUUAAUACUCUGUGUUAUGUCUGUAGUUGCAGAAAUAAAAAGUUGUUAGGAUUACAGCUUUAUUUACUUACUUAACUUGCUACUUAUUUAUUUAUUUAUUUGUUUAUUUAUGAUUCUUUUUCCUUUCAGACCUUACUACUACUUCAACUGAUGGUAGUAUUUUUUUAAAAUAUCACGUAUGAUCAAACAGACCUUCCAGUGUGUCUCUUGACCCUUUGAUACAAGGGAUUCCCCCUCCUCACUGCAGUAUUAUUGAAGAGCAUCGUAACACAGGUUUCAGGGCAGCAUGUUUAAGCCAGAGGACCAAUAAUACCCACUAUAAUAAAUUAUCAUUCCUGUCUGCCACUUAGUGUUCAGAUUUCUAGAAAACAGGCUCUUCGUUAUUCUCCUCUGAAACCUGACACAAAACUGAAAAAUAGAAAAUAACUGAAUAUCAAAAUAUAUUUCCAUAGAUAGGCUACCUCACCAGUAGAGACUGAGAUAUAAUUUAAUCCAAAUUAACAUGUGAGGCCCUGGAAAAUUCUUUAUCUUCUGUAUGUAUCUUUAAAGUUAAGUAAUAUUAUACUUUAAGUUACUUAUUUCCAUUUGUAAAGAAAUGAAAAUUUUCUUAUUUUCAUAGUGAUGUUGUUAGGCGAAGAAAAUAUAUAAUAGUGAAAGGCAGACAGUGUAUUAUUGUAAGAAAUGCUGACUUGAAUGUGCUUUUUUGAAAAAACAAAUGAAAUGAAGAGAAAUUACUCAGUAGUGUUUCUUUAGUAACUCAACUUUUUCUCAAUAACACCAUUUCUGGUUUUUCUUUAUUGAUAAGAUCCUAGCUAUUCAUACUUUAAAAACAGAAGACAGUACUUCUCCAUAACACUGUGACCACA
rnacentral:lncRNA from 1 species